CCUACGGGUGGCAGCAGUGAGGAAUAUUGGUCAAUGGGCGCGAGCCUGAACCAGCCAAGUAGCGUGAAGGAUGACUGCCCUACGGGUUGUAAACUUCUUUUGUCGGGGAACAAAGGCGUCCACGGGUGGGCGGAUGAGUGUACCCGAAGAAAAAGCAUCGGCUAACUCCGUGCCAGCAGCCGCGGUAAUACGGAGGAUGCGAGCGUUAUCCGGAUUUAUUGGGUUUAAAGGGUGCGUAGGCGGACAGUCAAGUCAGCGGUAAAAAUGCGGUGCUCAACGCCGUACAGCCGUUGAAACUGGCAGUCUUGAGUGGGCGAGAAGUAUGCGGAAUGCGUGGUGUAGCGGUGAAAUGCAUAGAUAUCACGCAGAACUCCGAUUGCGAAGGCAGCAUACCGGCGCCCUACUGACGCUGAGGCACGAAAGCGUGGGUAUCGAACAGGAUUAGAUACCCGGGUAGUC
rnacentral:rRNA from 1 species